UACGUAGGGUGCAAGCGUUGUCCGGAUUUAUUGGGCGUAAAGAGCGUGUAGGCGGCCAAGCAGGUCCGCUGUGAAAACUCGAGGCUCAACCUCGAGACGUCGGUGGAAACCGUUUGGCUAGAGUCCGGAAGAGGAGAGUGGAAUUCCCGGUGUAGCGGUGAAAUGCGCAGAUAUCGGGAAGAACACCCGUGGCGAAGGCGGCUCUCUGGGACGGUACUGACGCUGAGACGCGAAAGCUUGGGGAGCGAACAGG
rnacentral:rRNA from 1 species